rfam:Ictidomys tridecemlineatus contig036432, whole genome shotgun sequence.
UGGGGUGUAGUUCAGUGACACAGCAUUUGUUUAACAUGCAGGAGGUUCUGGGUUCAAACCCCAGCACCACAA